CCCUCUUUUUCCCGCUUUUUUCGGAAUUACUGGGCGUAAAGGGCGUGUAGGCGGCCUUCUAAGUCGAACGUGAAAUCCCCGGGCUCAACCCGGGAACUGCGUCCGAGACUGGAAGGCUCGAAUCCGGGAGAGGGAUGCGGAAUUCCAGGUGUAGCGGUGAAAUGCGUAGAUAUCUGGAGGAUCACCGGUGGCGAAGGCGACAUCCUGGACCGGCAUUGACGCUGAGGAGCGAAGGCCAGGGGAGCAAACGGGA
rnacentral:rRNA from 1 species